rnacentral:lncRNA from 1 species
GGAGUGGAGGCUCUCCUCAGCAGCCCAUCUCUCCUCCCUCCAACACUGUGAUUUCUUUCUACACCGAUGCUAGUUGAUAACUUCUGUGGUAUGGCUGUGCUUUGUGCUCCCAAAGUUUCCUGUCUUGAGAACCUCAGCCCUCAAGGUGGUGAUACUGGGGACGAUCCAACUCAGGACACAAAACGGCAUAUAAUCCAUCAAAACCCCGCCACCUUGUGCCUAUACAAUCAUAGAUACAGAGGAGUACUGCCACUAAGAUUUCCCUACUUCCGGGAACAUAGAAUCUCACAAAUGCUCUUUGUCCAGGACAGCUCGGGAACCACGUGGUCUAAGCCCGUGGUGCAGUUCACUAUCACGGACAACAGAGGGCGCUUUACCCUUAGGAAGGUGAGUUCUCAACUAGGCCAUCGCAUGGCCAAGGCCAAGGAAGAUAGAUUGCAGAGUUGGCAUGUAUAGAACUUUCUGGCAAUGGCUUGACCUGGCUAGCUAGGACCCAGCAAUGUGGAACGGUGCAAUCACACUGCAGCUUGAAGGUCCGUGAGUACUGAGGACAAAGACAAGCUGCUUCCCAACUCUCCGUCCCAGCACAGAAGCUUUGGGUGUGGCCCCAUGUAGGGACACGAGAGCCUCACCCUGGGGGCCUUGGAAGCUACCUGCUAUUAUCUAUCUAUCUAUCUAUCUAUCUAUCUAUCUAUCUAUCUAUCUAUCUAUCUAUCUAUCUAUCUAUCUAUUUUAGCAUUACAGUUGAUAGGAUCCUGAGACUGAAUUGGCCUCCCUGCUUCUUUCUGGGAAGCUGACCUCAAAGGCCAGCAGUCCCCUUUGGCUUAGGAGACUAUGAAGGGCCUGAAAAACCUGCCUGCCUCUCCGCUCUUACCUGCCUACCUUUGUGCUGAGGAGAAACGGGAUCUAAGAAGGAAGCUGACAAGAGAUGAAGCCGAGACAAAAUCAAAAGCCCCAGAUAAGUCCUUCUCUCUGUUUCUCCCACCCCAUAUCUUCAGGCAGAGCCAGUUCCUGUACCCCAGUAGCCCUUACAGAGACCGCACAGGAGGCCUGGAUGGAGUCUUCCAUUGGGAACUGCAGGGGAAACCAUGCCCUGGCUGCGGAAGGCUCCGGCUGAUGCUGGACAGAGAGAAGGAGUAUCUUUGCUGAGACAAGCCAUGCUCCUUCCUGCUGAUGAUCCAGUCACCGGGGGUGGUUGGAAGAUGCUGUCCUUGGCCUGAGCAGCCCACAACCUCAUCUGUUCCCCCAGACAUUCAGGGAUCCACUUACCAAUAUGACUUUCCCAAUGUAGAACAUGCUUACAUGCCAGCAGCAUUCAGGCUAACGGCACCUGGAGAAUGGGGUUAUCCUGAAGGGGGGCCCAUCUUAAUUCCCUGUUCAGUCUGAGACAUUGUGAUUCUCCAGCUUUCUGUAUGUAUCUGUAUGCAAGGCCCUUCUGCCAGAAGACACACCUAUCAUAUAACUGACAGCAUUCUCUCCCCAAUGGCAUUGUAUUUGCUACCUGGAGCUCCUGCUUCUAUAAGCAUUUCCCUACCCACGCCACACCUUUCCUCCCUCACCAUCUGAUGGCCUGCUCUGGUCCUCACCCAGCCCCACCGGACCGUUCCAAGGUCAUUCACAAGGUCACUUUGAAGCCUGGGGGGGUGGGGGCUCCCCAUGCUGUGCCCUUGCCCAGCUUCCCCAUGCCCAAUGCCUCACUGGGUGCCAUGAGACUGCAGACUCAGUGUCUGGCUCCUGGGGCAUGGGCCCAUAAGAAGUUAGUACUCAUCAAGAGCCACAAGCAGAACUUCCAACAACAAAAGGUUCCAGUUCAGGCCAUCUGUCGGGGGCAGCUGCUGGCAUGCAUAGGUUGAGUGGUGGCAAGUGUUAGCCCAGGCAAACAGCUGGACACACCAUGGCCCAGUCUCUCCCCAUGCUGGCUACAUUGUAGCCUCAACAGGUAGCUUUUCUUUUCCAAGUGACUGCAUAUCACCACUGUCUCAAGUUACUUUUUCCACUGCUGUGAUAAGAUGUGGCGACCAAGGCAUCUUGUAGAAGAGUUUAUUUGGGGCUUACAGUUUCAGAGGGUUAGACUCCAUGACCAUUAUGGGGUAAAGCAUGGCAGUAGGCAUGGUGCUGGAGCAGUAACCGAGAGCUCAUAUCUUGAUCCACGAAACAGUUAACUGGGAAUGGCAUGGGCUUUCAAAACCCCAAACCCACCCCUCAGUGACACACCCCUUAAAAACAGUUCCACUGAGAACCAGGCAUAGAACUAUCCUGACCCCUUCAUGGAUAAUCGGAUAAUUGGGAAAGUGAUUAGUGGGGCUGGCUGAAUUGGGAAGCCUGGGAGAGAAAGGGCUGAAGCAGCCAGGACAAGAAGCCCCGAUCUGGGAGGUGGUUUUCACAGUGCCUGUCCUUCCUGGAAGUCUGUGUUGCUGCACACACUUCUCCAGGUACCUACUGGAGCACCGUUUAAUCUGCCUAUUGAACUUCCACUCCCAAGCAUCCAACAGUGUAAGCUCAGGGGUUAAACUGCAUCCUCUCACACAGCUCUGCCCAUCUUAUUGAUUCACUGGCUCUGAAGGAUUCGGGCUACAGACGUUGAUCUUUUGACUACCCUGUGUGUGUACAUGGGGGUCAGAGGAUGGCACUGGGAGUCUCCCUCAGUCACUCUCCACCUUAUUUUCUGAGUCAGUCUCUCCCUGAAUCUGAAGGUCACCAGUUGGGUAGAGUAGCUUGCCAGCGAGCCCCAGAGAUCCUCCCGAUGCCCAUCUCCAGUGUGGCAUCGCAAAGCAGGUCCUCACGCCUGCAGGCGGAAACUUACCAACCGAGCCAGCCACCUCCCUGGACCCUGCUUACACUUUUAAACAUUUGCUCUAAUUACACUUUGCCUCCAUAGGAAAAACAGAGAUAAAUGUUGUUUCCAUCUGAGGAGAGGCACAGGCACCAAAUUCUGAGCUAUACCAAGAACCCGGAGUGCAGAAUGCAAAUGGUUUUUCAAUCUGUCUAAGCUGUGGAGCAGCCCAACAAGACAUUUCUGGUUUCCUUUAAUAUUAAGGUGAGGCAAUCUAUUGAGCCAUGGGAGAUGUUACAAUCUUUGAACUUUUAAAUAAUAAUUAAUUGUGCACAGUAAAGUGCCUGUCUAUAAUGAUUAGUACCAUAUACUUUAAAAUGCUAGAACAAAUCGCUUGAAUGUUUUCUCAUAAAAGAAAUGGCAAAUCACCAGGUAGGCUUUACUGACUUAAACAUUAAUUACAUAGUGCACAUUGAAAUAUCACAUGUAUCUCAUAAAUAUAUAACUUUUACAUCUU